UUAGUCUUUGUUGUUAUUGAUAACCGCAAAUGAAUAAUAAUUUGUAUAGGGGCAAGUAAAUAUUGACUGUGGGCAUAUACAUUUCUGGGUCAAGCAAGGGAAAAAAAUCAUUAAUGUUUAACCCUGCAUCCACCAUGCUUAGGUACCGUUAUGCAAAACACAGAAUCCCUACCAGCUUCUGGGCUGCCGUUCUGAAGCUGACCCCUGACCUCUGACCUCCCUGUUCAAGGGGGCCAAAGAAAACAGAGGCAACAAAUUAGUAUGCAUGUGUCAAAUAAUAUGGCUGAACCAGGCAAAUGUACACUCUUCUCUGCAUCUUCAGAGCUUUUUUAGUUCUCCAACAUAUCACCCUAUAAACUGCUGAUGAAGGAAAGGGGGAAAUAGUGUACAGUAUAUCUGCUAUAUUUGGUCAAAUCCAAGCCUGGAAUGCAACGCCCCUCUUUGUCCUGCAAAUCACAUUGUCAGGCUGUCUGCUAUAUUAGGAUGUUGACAUCUGUGUCAGGAUGUUGAACACACACACACACGUGAACUAAUGAGCUUAACCGAUUCAUAUCAACAUGUGUUUCCAAUGGAGGUUAGGGCCGAGGUCACAGGGCAGGGCAAAGCAAAUGGUGAACGCACGAGCACACUUCCUGGUUAUCUAUAUGCGAACAAUAACCGUCUCUCACUGCUACACACACACAAAAGCAUACUAUAUCCAAGCAUCUGUUUUGCAGUGGCAACCAAAUGAAUAGUACAUGUCAUACAGCAGAGAAGAGAAUUUCUUACAUUCCAAUGAUGUCAUUUCUACCCUUCCUUCCUAUGACCUCAUCAGUACUGUAAUUACAUACAUACAGAGAAAUAAGGAGGGGGAGCGGUGGUGAGAGAUGAUGGUGAAAUUGUAGAAAAGAUAGAUGGGGGGUAGCCUCAAGGUUAGAGACACAGAUUUGUGAUGUAAGAUCAGUAGUAUGAAAACACAGAUCAGCUGGAAAUGUUCAAUACAAUUGAGGCCAAUGGUAGAAGGUUAUCUUCUACAGUAUAUGUGAAGGUAUAAACCCAUGUGCCGGUAAUGAUAUAAUAGGGCUUUGCCAAGUGUUUUCUGAAUAAAAUGGUAAGACAUUAUCACAAAUACACUGAGUCACAACAUUACAAGAUGCACGGCAGUUAAUUCAAUUAGCGAAAUAUCCAGAUGAAUGAAAA